rnacentral:rRNA from 1 species
GAUGAACGCUGGCGGCGUGCCUAACACAUGCAAGUCGAGCGAUUUACUUCGGUAAAGAGCGGCGGACGGGUGAGUAACGCGUGGGUAACCUGCCCUGUACACACGGAUAACAUACCGAAAGGUAUGCUAAUACGAGAUAGUAUGCUUUUAUCGCAUGGUAGAAGUAUCAAAGCUUUUGCGGUACAGGAUGGACACGCGUCUGAUUAGCUAGUUGGUAAGGUAACGGCUUACCAAGGCGACGAUCAGUAGCCGACCUGAGAGGGUGAUCGGCCGCAUGGGAACUGAGACACGGUCCAAACUCAGACGGGAGGCAGCAGUGGGGAAUAUUGCACAAUGGGCGAAAGCCUGAUGCAGCAACGCCGCGUGAGCGAUGAAGGCCUUCGGGUCGUAAAGCUCUGUCCUCAAGGAAGAUAAUGACGGUACUUGAGGAGGAAGCCCCGGCUAACUACGUGCCAGCAGCCGCCGUAA